GAUGAACGCUGGCGGCGUGCCUAAUACAUGCAAGUCGAGCGAACGGACGAGAAGCUUGCUUCUCUGAUGUUAGCGGCGGACGGGUGAGUAACACGUGGAUAACCUACCUAUAAGACUGGGAUAACUUCGGGAAACCGGAGCUAAUACCGGAUAAUAUUUUGAACCGCAUGGUUCAAAAGUGAAAGACGGUCUUGCUGUCACUUAUAGAUGGAUCCGCGCUGCAUUAGCUAGUUGGUAAGGUAACGGCUUACCAAGGCAACGAUGCAUAGCCGACCUGAGAGGGUGAUCGGCCACACUGGAACUGAGACACGGUCCAGACUCCUACGGGAGGCAGCAGUAGGGAAUCUUCCGCAAUGGGCGAAAGCCUGACGGAGCAACGCCGCGUGAGUGAUGAAGGUCUUCGGAUCGUAAAACUCUGUUAUUAGGGAAGAACAUAUGUGUAAGUAACUGUGCACAUCUUGACGGUACCUAAUCAGAAAGCCACAGCUAACUACGU
rnacentral:rRNA from 1 species